UGGGGUUUGGGAUUUCACAUGGGCGCAGCCUGAUGCAGCAACGCCGCGUGAGGGAUGACGGCCUUCGGGUUGUAAACCUCUUUUAGCAGGGAAGAAGCGAAAGUGACGGUACCUGCAGAAAAAGCGCCGGCUAACUACGUGCCAGCAGCCGCGGUAAUACGUAGGGCGCAAGCGUUAUCCGGAAUUAUUGGGCGUAAAGAGCUCGUAGGCGGUUUGUCGCGUCUGCUGUGAAAUCCGGAGGCUCAACCUCCGGCCUGCAGUGGGUACGGGCAGACUAGAGUGCGGUAGGGGAGAUUGGAAUUCCUGGUGUAGCGGUGGAAUGCGCAGAUAUCAGGAGGAACACCGAUGGCGAAGGCAGAUCUCUGGGCCGUAACUGACGCUGAGGAGCGAAAGGGUGGGGAGCAAACAGGCUUAGAUACCCUGGUAGUCCACCCCGUAAACGUUGGGAACUAGUUGUGGGGUCCAUUCCACGGAUUCCGUGACGCAGCUAACGCAUUAAGUUCCCCGCCUGGGGAGUACGGCCGCAAGGCUAAAACUCAAAGGAAUUGACGGGGACCCGCACAAGCGGCGGAGCAUGCGGAUUAAUUCGAUGCAACGCGAAGAACCUUACCAAGGCUUGACAUAUACGAGAACGGGCCAGAAAUGGUCAACUCUUUGGACACUCGUAAACAGGUGGUGCAUGGUUGUCGUCAGCUCGUGUCGUGAGAUGUUGGGUUAAGUCCCGCAACGAGCGCAACCCUCGUUCUAUGUUGCCAGCACGUAAUGGUGGGAACUCAUGGGAUACUGCCGGGGUCAACUCGGAGGAAGGUGGGGAUGACGUCAAAUCAUCAUGCCCCUUAUGUCUUGGCUUCACGCAUGCUACAAUGGCCGGUACAAAGGGCUGCAAUACCGCGAGGUGAGCGAAUCCCAAAAAGCCGGUCCCAGUUCGGAUUGAGG
rnacentral:rRNA from 1 species